rnacentral:rRNA from 1 species
CCUGGGCGGGUUUCGCCCGCCACCAGGACCACACCAUAAACCUUUUUUAUGCAGUUGCAAUCAGCGUCAGUACAACAAAUGUAAAUCAUUUACAACUUUCAACAACGGAUCUCUUGGUUCUGGCAUCGAUGAAGAACGCAGCGAAAUGCGAUACGUAGUGUGAAUUGCAGAAUUCAGUGAAUCAUCGAAUCUUUGAACGCACAUUGCGCCCUUUGGUAUUCCAAAGGGCAUGCCUGUUCGAGCGUCAUUUGUACCCUCAAGCUUUGCUUGGUGUUGGGCGUUUUUUUGUCUUUGGUUAUGCCAAAGACUCGCCUUAAAACGAUUGGCAGCCGGCCUCCUGGUUUCGCAGCGCAGCACAUUUUUGCGCUUGCAAUCAGCAAUAGAGGGCGGCACUCCAUCAAGACACUUUUUUUCACGUUUGACCUCGGAUCAGGUAGGGAUACCCGCUGAAC